CUAACUUUCCCGAUGUCUCCUCUUCCUCUGCCUCUCUGUCUGGAAUUGUUGUGCGUGUGAAAGGGAUUUCUAUUCCACUCAGUUUCCACUUUAUUUCGGCUGUCCUUGGUCAGGCUCUUAUUCGCUCUGGCAAUUCUUGUGAGCCGGUUCCAGAUUUCCUUCCUUGUCAUCAGCUGGUGAAUCGACUCUAUGUGAAAGUAAGUUGGAAGGCUGCUCAUAUUCUCUUCCAGCUUGUGAUUGAGCACUCUGUCAGUGUUGAGUUCUACAUCCGUGAAAGCCUCAUCGCCGUUGGUGCUGCAAAUGCCACUGUUCUGACAAGAAGUCUUGUUCUACCUAGGAUUAUCACAUCUUUGGCUACUCAUGCUAGUGUCCAUGCACUCUCUACGGAUGAUAUUGGCUCUUCCAACACCAUCAAAGUCAACAAUCAUGUUACUUUACAUCUCAGCUCUCACUGUACUUCUGGUAAUUUCUCCAUUGAGCAAUAGGCUCUUUUGGAUUCACACUCUGCAUCCCAUCAAGUGACGCAUGCACUUCUUCACCGCAUCUGGGAUCGCCUUGACACUUGUGGUGAGCUGCUGCUGGCACUUGCUAGGCAUAUUUAGCCACCUGAUCCUCCCUGUCCUACUCGGGCUCGCAGCCUCUAAGGUUCAUAUGUUCUGCUACUGGAUUUGUUCAUCCUUUGUAGUUAUCUCUGUGUUCCUUCGGAUUUCCUAAACAAAAAGAGGGAGAAUAUUUUGUGUUACAUAUGGGAUUUAGGGGGAGUAACUUGACUGUCGAAAGUAGAAACAUGAUAUUUAGGGGGAGAUAACUUUUUGUUUUGUUUAUGGGAUCAGAACGUGUAGUGGCUUGCUUAACCUCCUAACAUAUGAAGGAUUGUUGUUUAAUUGUGUCAAGUUCUGUUUCUUCUUUUUCAAUUCUAUUAUGCUUCACUGAUAAUCUGCUUGUUGGUGUGUAGAAGUUACAAGAACUGGAUGUUUAUUGGGCAUAGCAAAUUAGGAUGUGUAGGUUCUUCUUGUAAAAGUGUCUGCAAUGUAAUCUAGUGUUUUGUCUAGGAAAUGCCAAAGGGGAAGAUUGUUAUUA
rnacentral:lncRNA from 1 species